CAGAAGAAACUGAUUAAGGAUGAGAACAUUUAUCUAACUUGAGAUCACAUAGCUGGUCAAUUGUGGAGCUAGAAUUUAAAUCCAGGUCUGCUUGGCCCUAAGGGUUUGUUUAUAUUUAAAGAAAUUUAAUAAUAUUGAUAAUUAUAAUAAUAAUCCCUGAAAUUUAAGUUGGUGUGUGGCUAAGCACUUGGCAUGGAUUACACACAAAUGCCCUAAAGGAGGUACCAUACUUAUGCUUGUCUCACAGAUCAGGAAACUGAGGAUCAGAGGAUUUGACCAACCCAAAGCCACCCAGCUAGUAAGGAGGAGGGGAGCCCGCAGGGCCUGAAUCCUGACAAGUUGGCUCGAGGGCUCAGGUUCUGGAGCUGAGUCAAUAGCUCCAGCUCUCAGGUCAGCUGCCUGUGUUCCAGUCCUGCCUCUCACAGUUUCUACAAAUUUGGAACAAGUUUGCUGAGCCCUGAAUUUGAUUAUCCGUGAGAUCAUUUCUAGCUCUAAUUUAGAAACGCAACUCCACCAUUUACCAGCUGCAUGACCUUGGGUUAACACAUGGCCUUAUUUGUUUUAAAAGGACACCUUUUUGAGAAUGUGUUUAGAGAAAGACUCUAUUCACCCCGUGAAGAUUUUGAAGCCCCAUCAGGAUCUUAGGGGAGCUCUCUGAAAAGUACAUCAACUAAGCUUCCUCCCCUCGGGAUUCCAGACUGAAGAUAACGACACAGAAAUAGCAUGGAUGCUAAUAACAUACUGUCCAGGCAAAGAAAGGUUAUUCUCUGAAAGAAUUUGGCACCAAGGAUUUCGGCAGUGAACAAAUAAGAAAAAAAUCCCUGUGAUGACAGAGUUUACCUCUUAGGGAGAGGGAAGAUAAAUAAUAAACAAAAGAAAUUUUAAAAUAUAUUAGAAGGUGAUAACAGUUUGGAAAGGUGAGAGGUAUCAGGGAUUUUAUUUUGGGUCAUGUUAAGUUUGAACUCUCUAUUAAACUUACAAAUGGAGAUGUGGAGUAUUUGUUUGGAUAUAUACCUCUGGAGUUCAAGGGUUCAGAUCAAGGUGGGUCAUGGAAAUUGGGAAUUAUCAAUAUUUGCGUGAUAUUUCAAGCAAUAAUAUUGGAUGAGACAAUCAAAGAAGUGGAUUUAGAUGUAGAGAAGAGGUCCAAGAACCAGGACACUCCGUCAUUUCGAUAAUAGGUCGACAGAAGCAAAGGGGGCUAAAAAGAAGUGGCCAGUGAAGUAGAAGGUAAAUACACAAGCCAAGUGAAGAGGGUGUGAUCAACCUGUCAAGUGCUACCAAGAGCUCAUGUAAAGUGAGAAUGGAGAACUGACUAUUAAAUUUAGCAACAUGUGGUAGA
rnacentral:lncRNA from 1 species